AGCGUACACGGUGGAUGCCCUGGCAGUCAGAGGCGAUGAAGGACGUGCUAAUCUGCGAUAAGCGUCGGUAAGGUGAUAUGAACCGUUAUAACCGGCGAUUUCCGAAUGGGGAAACCCAGUGUGUUUCGACACACUAUCAUUAACUGAAUCCAUAGGUUAAUGAGGCGAACCGGGGGAACUGAAACAUCUAAGUACCCCGAGGAAAAGAAAUCAACCGAGAUUCCCCCAGUAGCGGCGAGCGAACGGGGAGCAGCCCAGAGUCUGAAUCAGUGUGUGUGUUAGUGGAAGCGUCUGGAAAGGCGCGCGAUACAGGGUGACAGCCCCGUACACAAAAAUGCACAUGCUGUGAGCUCGAUGAGUAGGGCGGGACACGUGGUAUCCUGUCUGAAUAUGGGGGGACCAUCCUCCAAGGCUAAAUACUCCUGACUGACCGAUAGUGAACCAGUACCGUGAGGGAAAGGCGAAAAGAACCCCGGCGAGGGGAGUGAAAAAGAACCUGAAACCGUGUACGUACAAGCAGUGGGAGCACGCUUAGGCGUGUGACUGCGUACCUUUUGUAUAAUGGGUCAGCGACUUAUAUUCUGUAGCAAGGUUAACCGAAUAGGGGAGCCGAAGGGAAACCGAGUCUUAACUGGGCGUUAAGUUGCAGGGUAUAGACCCGAAACCCGGUGAUCUAGCCAUGGGCAGGUUGAAGGUUGGGUAACACUAACUGGAGGACCGAACCGACUAAUGUUGAAAAAUUAGCGGAUGACUUGUGGCUGGGGGUGAAAGGCCAAUCAAACCGGGAGAUAGCUGGUUCUCCCCGAAAGCUAUUUAGGUAGCGCCUCGUGAAUUCAUCUCCGGGGGUAGAGCACUGUUUCGGCAAGGGGGUCAUCCCGACUUACCAACCCGAUGCAAACUGCGAAUACCGGAGAAUGUUAUCACGGGAGACACACGGCGGGUGCUAACGUCCGUCGUGAAGAGGGAAACAACCCAGACCGCCAGCUAAGGUCCCAAAGUCAUGGUUAAGUGGGAAACGAUGUGGGAAGGCCCAGACAGCCAGGAUGUUGGCUUAGAAGCAGCCAUCAUUUAAAGAAAGCGUAAUAGCUCACUGGUCGAGUCGGCCUGCGCGGAAGAUGUAACGGGGCUAAACCAUGCACCGAAGCUGCGGCAGCGACGCUUAUGCGUUGUUGGGUAGGGGAGCGUUCUGUAAGCCUGUGAAGGUGUGCUGUGAGGCAUGCUGGAGGUAUCAGAAGUGCGAAUGCUGACAUAAGUAACGAUAAAGCGGGUGAAAAGCCCGCUCGCCGGAAGACCAAGGGUUCCUGUCCAACGUUAAUCGGGGCAGGGUGAGUCGACCCCUAAGGCGAGGCCGAAAGGCGUAGUCGAUGGGAAACAGGUUAAUAUUCCUGUACUUGGUGUUACUGCGAAGGGGGGACGGAGAAGGCUAUGUUGGCCGGGCGACGGUUGUCCCGGUUUAAGCGUGUAGGCUGGUUUUCCAGGCAAAUCCGGAAAAUCAAGGCUGAGGCGUGAUGACGAGGCACUACGGUGCUGAAGCAACAAAUGCCCUGCUUCCAGGAAAAGCCUCUAAGCAUCAGGUAACAUCAAAUCGUACCCCAAACCGACACAGGUGGUCAGGUAGAGAAUACCAAGGCGCUUGAGAGAACUCGGGUGAAGGAACUAGGCAAAAUGGUGCCGUAACUUCGGGAGAAGGCACGCUGAUAUGUAGGUGAAGCGACUUGCUCGUGGAGCUGAAAUCAGUCGAAGAUACCAGCUGGCUGCAACUGUUUAUUAAAAACACAGCACUGUGCAAACACGAAAGUGGACGUAUACGGUGUGACGCCUGCCCGGUGCCGGAAGGUUAAUUGAUGGGGUUAGCGCAAGCGAAGCUCUUGAUCGAAGCCCCGGUAAACGGCGGCCGUAACUAUAACGGUCCUAAGGUAGCGAAAUUCCUUGUCGGGUAAGUUCCGACCUGCACGAAUGGCGUAAUGAUGGCCAGGCUGUCUCCACCCGAGACUCAGUGAAAUUGAACUCGCUGUGAAGAUGCAGUGUACCCGCGGCAAGACGGAAAGACCCCGUGAACCUUUACUAUAGCUUGACACUGAACAUUGAGCCUUGAUGUGUAGGAUAGGUGGGAGGCUUAGAAGUGUGGACGCCAGUCUGCAUGGAGCCGACCUUGAAAUACCACCCUUUAAUGUUUGAUGUUCUAACGUUGACCCGUAAUCCGGGUUGCGGACAGUGUCUGGUGGGUAGUUUGACUGGGGCGGUCUCCUCCUAAAGAGUAACGGAGGAGCACGAAGGUUGGCUAAUCCUGGUCGGACAUCAGGAGGUUAGUGCAAUGGCAUAAGCCAGCUUGACUGCGAGCGUGACGGCGCGAGCAGGUGCGAAAGCAGGUCAUAGUGAUCCGGUGGUUCUGAAUGGAAGGGCCAUCGCUCAACGGAUAAAAGGUACUCCGGGGAUAACAGGCUGAUACCGCCCAAGAGUUCAUAUCGACGGCGGUGUUUGGCACCUCGAUGUCGGCUCAUCACAUCCUGGGGCUGAAGUAGGUCCCAAGGGUAUGGCUGUUCGCCAUUUAAAGUGGUACGCGAGCUGGGUUUAGAACGUCGUGAGACAGUUCGGUCCCUAUCUGCCGUGGGCGCUGGAGAACUGAGGGGGGCUGCUCCUAGUACGAGAGGACCGGAGUGGACGCAUCACUGGUGUUCGGGUUGUCAUGCCAAUGGCACUGCCCGGUAGCUAAAUGCGGAAGAGAUAAGUGCUGAAAGCAUCUAAGCACGAAACUUGCCCCGAGAUGAGUUCUCCCUGACUCCUUGA
rnacentral:rRNA from 1 species